rnacentral:rRNA from 1 species
GCCUAACACAUGCAAGUCGAGCGAGAAAGUUCCUUCGGGAAUGAGUACAGCGGCGCACGGGUGAGUAACACGUAGGUGACCUACCCCCGAGCCCGGAAUAACCUACCGAAAGGUGGGCUAAUACCGGAUACGUCCACGAGAGUUUCGGCUUCCGUGGGGAAAGAUGGCCUCUACUCGUAAGCUAUCACUCAAGGAUGGGCCUGCGUGCCAUUAGCUAGUUGGUGAGGUAACGGCUCACCAAGGCGAUGAUGGCUAGCUGGUCUGAGAGGAUGACCAGCCACACUGGGACUGGAACACGGCCCAGACUCCUACGGGAGGCAGCAGUGGGGGAUAUUGCGCAAUGGGCGAAAGCCUGACGCAGCGACGCCGCGUGGGUGAUGAAGGCCUUCGGGUCGUAAAGCCCUGUCGAGGGGGAAGAACCGGUUGCGACCUAAUACGUCGCAGCCCUGACGGUACCCCUAAAGGAAGCACCGGCUAACUCCGUGCCAGCAGCCGCGGUAAUACGGAGGGUGCAAGCGUUGUUCGGAAUCACUGGGCGUAAAGCGCGUGUAGGCGGCCUACUAAGUCUGAUGUGAAAGCCCGGGGCUCACCCCCGGAAGUGCAUUGGAAACUGGCAGGCUCGAGUCCCGGAGAGGAGGGUGGAAUUCCUGGUGUAGCGGUGAAAUGCGUAGAUAUCAGGAGGAACACCGGUGGCGAAGGCGGCCCUCUGGACGGUGACUGACGCUGAGACGCGAAAGCGUGGGGAGCAAACAGGAUUAGAUACCCUGGUAGUCCACGCCGUAAACGAUGAGCACUAGGUGUCGCGGGUAUUGACCCCUGCGGUGCCGACGCUAACGCAUUAAGUGCUCCGCCUGGGGACUACGGCCGCAAGGUUAAAACUCAAAGGAAUUGACGGGGGCCCGCACAAGCGGUGGAGCAUGUGGUUCAAUUCGACGCAAC